AUUGAACGCUGGCGGCAGGCCUAACACAUGCAAGUCGAGCGGAGCGGCGGACGGGGGAGUAAUGCCUAGGUAUCUGCCUGGUAGUGGGGGAUAACGUCCGGAACCGGGCGCUAAUCCCGCAUCCUCUCAGAUGAGCCUAGGUCGGAUUAGCUAGUUGGUGGGGUAAAGGCCUACCAAGGCGACGAUCCGGAACUGGUCUGAGAGGAUGAUCAGUCACACUGGAACUGAGACACGGUCCAGACUCCUACGGGAGGCAGCAGUGGGGAAUAUUGGACAAUGGGCGCAAGCCUGAUCCAGCCAUGCCGCGUGUGUGAAGAAGGUCUUCGGAUUGUAAAGCACUUUAAGUUGGGAGGCGUUACCCACAGAAGAAGCACCGGCUAACUUCGUGCCAGCAGCCGCGGUAAUAC
rnacentral:rRNA from 1 species